GACAGCAAGGCAGAAUAAUACUGUGGAAGGAAUGGACAUUGGCCCUGUGAUAACUAGGAAAUAAUGUUCUUAUAUCUUCCAUGAAAUACAGCUGCCAGAGAGAUAUACCAAUGUGCUGUGGAGACAUACGUAGCAUAAUCAAGCCAAUUCAAAAAGAAAAAUACAUGCCCUGAAGACUACUUUAAGAAAGUUUCAGCAUAUUAGGGAGAAUGAUGAAGGACAACUAUGUGAUUGUAAAUGUUACAACCUAGGCCAACAUGAAAUUUCUUCUAUUGAGUUCUUCUGACUGUGGUCAGGAUACAACACGCUUUUUGGCUGGGUCUGUAACAGUAAGAUUUAUUGUAAUGAGGUAAGACUAGAGCUGAAGUCCAACAACUUCUUAAGACAUUUUUGCCAGACAGAAUUGAACCUCUUCUUGUCCAAAAAGACUGCUGCUAGAUUUUGCUGCACAGUACCAUUUUUUUUCCUGAUACGGCAGUUUUUUCAAUGAAUCUACUUCUGGUCAGCCAUAGCUUUUAGAAGAUUAGUAGUUGACAUUCACCUACUUACUGUAAAGUGUAGGACAUGCGCAUCUGAGUGGUAUUGGUGGCCUAUCACAAAUUAGAAAGCCUGUGUUCUUUACUGUUUCAGUCAUUACAUUUGCUACUAUGAAUGAGCCACAGCAUUAAACAGUUCAGACUUAUAUCAGUACAAUAUUAAUAUGCACUGAGGACAGUCAGUGUAAUGGUCACAGUUUAAUGAAGAUUAUAAAGUGUUUUCAGAAUGAUGUUGGACUCUGUUUCUGAACUAUAUUCACCUUCUUUACAACCAGAACAUAGAAAAUGCUUUUAGAAGGUCUAAAAAUCUUUCUUAAUGUGGCUUUCUUGUUCUUUUUCCAUACUAGGUACCAUUUUGUAGCAAUGAGAAAGCUAUUCAUGGCUCUAAUGUCAAUGAUCUUUUUAUUUCUCCUGCUUUUAUCCUCAUUAACAUUAGUACAUCAUGCAUUCCAUGUUUCCUGGUAUUCUGGACAGGAGGGUCAUAGAUGGUCUUCACAACUUGUUCUUAACAUUCACUUGCAUGUUGUGCGAUUUUUAAUUUUCAAAAUAUAAUUAAUAAUGUAUCACUUAAAUGUGGACAAAUUUAAAGUUUUCUGAAUGUAAUGUCAUAUUAUAUAUAAGCAACGGUUAAUUCCAAAAAGUGCUGGAAUUUCCCAUUGAGUGAGAACAUUCUUUUUUACAUUGAACAGUUUUUUGUCUAUGGUGUUUCCUUUGACUGUUUAUAAUACUGCAUAUUAAAAAAGAUGGGUUGUAUGAGGACAAAGACUAACAAAUAGAAAAAUAAUCCUUUGCAAACUGUAAAGUGAUUUAGAUUGUUUCUGAAGCUUUUCAUGAACCUACUGCAAAUAUGGAAUGAUAAUAUUGAUAGGAUAAAAAGUUGUUUCAAUUUUCUAAAACAUAGGAGGUUUUCUAAAUGAAUUCUAAAUUGAAAUUAAUUUGAUAUUUUGUUGAGCACAAAAAUGUGUAGUAGAUUUGACAUUGAAUUUUAGGUCUGGAUUUUUAUUUUGAAUUUUAGGUUAACUAUCCUACAGAAAAAGAUGGAUGCCAUGUAGACAGGGCAAGAAAAAAAUUAGAAAGCAUUUUAUUUCAUUUAGUCUUUAUAUCUUAUACUCAUAAAAGUGAUUUAUCUUUAUGAGUUAUACUGACAGAAAGUUUUAAUUAGUCAUACAAAAGUAUAUCUGAUACUACAGAAUUAAAACUAGUAUUGAGUGUCAAAUUUUGUGCAGUCACCACAGUGUUAAAGUACUGCCAUGCUAUGAUCUAAACACAAAUUUUUGAAAAUUCAUAGCAGCAAAACUAAUGCGUUCUAUUUUUGCAUCCAUUAUCCGUUGUGUAAAACAUGCUUUUACAAGUGGGUGGUGAUGAACAUGUUGCAAGACAGAGAAUUAAUAACCUUAUGCAGUUUUUAUCUACAUGCAACUACUAUUUCCACUCCUAAUUACAUUGUCAUCACUAAACGUGGAUCUCUAGAGUUAGUCAUUUUGGUAGCAACAUAAUAUUCUCAUGGUUCUUCUCAUGUUUGAAUGCUGCUGUUUAGACACACGCAUGACGAGAAGAGAGUAUAAGCAAAAUGCAUUUCUUCCAAAUUGAGGCAAUCCAAAUAUUUUUCUUUCUAGAAGAGUGUGUGGCUUAGCUAUUUCAUUAUUCUUUUUUUUAAUGCUAUUACAUUCAAUUAUGCAAUGCCCAAUGGGAGUAUUUAUAAAGAUGCCUUACAAACAGCUUUAAAUUAUACUAUGACAAAAAUAUGGAAAAAUAUUCAUUUGGAAUAGAAACAGUUCUUUUGUGAAUAAUAUGGUUUGUUUUGAUUAUUAUUUUUCUUCUGACCGACUUAAUCUGUUGAAAUCUUUGAAACAAGGAAGGGAUGAGCCUCCUUCUGCGUGUGCACCUUCUAUAGGAAAUGGGACCUGCAAAGAAACUUUGAGAAUUUGGUCUAUGGCUCCUAUGUUCUGACUGACUUCAGCUGUAACUUUUAUAUAGAAAGUUUACAUGCCGUGAAGAAGAAAAAGCAAGUUUUCUCAAGUGCCAUUGAAAAUAGGCAGCUUGGAGGACUGGACAACUGGAAAUAUGAUGCUAGAGCCACCAUCAUUUUUUGCCACAACUCAGUCUGAUUAAAGAUAACUUGUUGCAUGUAGUGGGUUGUGUAGGCACAUGCUGCAUUGCUUUUUGUCAGCUAGUGGAUUUCUGAGAACUUUUUAUCCUUUGUUGGCUCUGUAAUGUCUAGGAUGGAUUCUGAGAUACCUGGCAUUGCAGAGUAAGCAAAAGACUCCCAUCUCAGCAGUCAUCAUUCUUGUCAAGAUCUAGAAUGAAUGUGUUCAACUGUGCUGUGGUAAAUGGUGGUGCUCCUAGUACAUGAGGUUUUUUUUUCAUCCUAGAAUUAAAUGCAAGAUAGGAUUAAAUUUGCCAAAUGAUUUUGAGUAUGAGGAAAAACAUCUUUAGGCACCUACUGCCACUUCUCACUAAUUCCAGGAAAUUGCAGCAUUGCUUCUAGGAUAUGGGAGAUAUAAUUUAUUUCUCUUUCUGUAGGCAGCAAUGUACCUAAUCGUAAAAGAAUAUCCUAACUCCAAGGAUACUUCUGUUUGUCUGUGCUAUGCUGCUUUUACUGUACAGUGCUGUUCUUUCAAUCUGUUCUAUUAGAUUUUUACCUCGUUUUAUAAGAUACUUAUUUCUGAAUGGUAAAAAUGAGUAUGAUCUAGUUUCAUAGGGACAUGGGAGACUUGGAUUGGUCCAGAUGCUUACUGAUCAGAUGCUCACACAAUAUUUAACAAUGUUACCAGUAUAAAUGAGCCAGAAGGUUUCCUGAGAGGUUGAAAAUGAAGAUCCUAAUAAUUUUUGGCAGUAGACAAAACCAGUCUGAAUCUCACAUACAUAUUUUUGUUCCUAUUCCUAUCAAGCUACUAUGUGAGUCACUUUGCUUUUUUUUCUUUUUCUUUCUCUUUUUUUUUUUAACGUUGGAAGCUUUUUUUAAAAAAAAAAUCACUAAGGAAAGAAUUCCAUCUUUGCUUCAGCUCAAACCUCCCUGCUAAAAUAAUGAAGCAAAAUUACGUUAACUCUGUUUUGCAUGCUUUGUGGAUCUAAAUUUAUCUUUCUAUAAAACAAGAAAUUUGCCAGAGUUAAUAAGUAAGAGCCCUUUCUGCUUCUUUCCUACAGAUUCCUACUACAUGUAAAAUUAACCAUGCUUGUGCCUAGGACACUGUGUUAAGUAGAUGUUUUCUGUUUGAUUGCCAUCCAGUCCACCUGGAAGGCUGUAGCUUCUUUUUCCUUGUCUGCAGAGUAGGAAAAACAAUAAACAAACAAAAAAGCCAAUGGAAGACUGGCUGGUGUUUGCUCUGCUUAAUAACUUUGGGUAGUUUUCAGGAACUGUUCUAUAAAGAAUUGUCAAAUAACUCUCCUGGACAGAGCAAUUAUCUGGAUGCUGUGCAGUAGAUUCUCUCUAGGCAUCUUCAGGCUUGUUUCCUGUCUAAUGAUUUGACAUCGAUAUACUCUAUUCUCUCAUUUAGUGUAAUUCUGCCACUGAACUAGUUACUGAUCUAAUGAAACAAAUGCACUGGAAUUUUCCUGUGCCCACGGUGUACCUAAUAAAAGCUUUGUGGGAACAUGGGGCACAAGAAAUCAGAAAACAGUAAGUGUUUAUGUAGAACAAAUAAAAUAUUGCUAAAUAUAUAACAUUGAUCUUAAUAUUACAAAAAUGAUGUAAUGACAAGUUUGUGUCAUUCAUCCAGAUGUAAAAUGUCUUUUUCAAUAAGUGGGGUAUCAAAAAUCUUGGUUCAUUGUCUAGAAGAGAAGCUAUGAAUAAGACAAAGAAGACAGCUUUUCUGAAUAGUAGAGAAAUGAGUACAUGAAUAUUCAUUUCACUUAAUAUUCAAGUUUCAGGUUUGCUUGCUAUAUCAAUGAGAGUCAAUUUUCAAAUUUCUGUGAACAUUCUUAGAAAUUCUGUUGCUGGCAAUAUAAGCAAAUUAAUGUGAAAGAGAAGCAAUCUAGAUCAUUUGUCCUGAAGUAAAGUGGUUGAAGUGUCAUAGUCUAC